rnacentral:rRNA from 1 species
CCAAAAACAUAGCCUUAGAUAAAAUCUAAGGUGUAACCUGCCCAGUGGUUUUAAAUUUUAAAAAGAUAAAAUCUUUUAAAUAAAACUAAAAGGACGCGGUAACCUUGACCGUGAUAAUGUAGCAUAAUCACUCGCCAUUUAAUUGAUGGAUAGUAUGAAUGGUUGAACGAAUAUUCCACUGUCUUAAGAAAAAAUCAAAUAAAAUUAAAAUAAUAGUUAAGAUGCUAUUUAAAAUUGUAAGACGAAAAGACCCUAUAGAGCUUAACUAUAGUUUUCUUUACAAAAAUGAGAACAACCUUCUCAAACUAAAGAAAAUUGGUAGUUUAGUUGGGGCGACUACCUUCUAGAAAUAACGAAGGCAAGCAAAGUUAAUAAAAAACUUAUUAUAUAAAAUAAAUUUUUAAUAAUUACAAAAGUAGGCUAUAAUGACCCGUUUAUAUUUAAUAAAAAAAUCAACGAUCAAUUAAUAAAAGCUACCUU